rnacentral:rRNA from 1 species
UACGUAGGGUGCAAGCGUUGUCCGGAAUUAUUGGGCGUAAAGAGCUCGUAGGCGGUUUGUUGCGUCGGCUGUGAAAUCCCGAGGCUCAACCUCGGGUCUGCAGUCGAUACGAGCAAACUAGAGUGUUGCAGGGGAGACUGGAAUUCCUGGUGUAGCGGUGAAAUGCGCAGAUAUCAGGAGGAACACCGGUGACGAAGGCGGGUCUCUGGGCCGAUACUGACGCUGAGGAGCGAAAGCAUGGGUAGCGAACAGG